rnacentral:rRNA from 1 species
UGGGGAAUUUUGGACAAUGGGCGCAAGCCUGAUCCAGCCAUGCCGCGUGAAGGAUGAAGUAUUUCGGUAUGUAAACUUCGAAAGAAUAGGAAGAAUAAAUGACGGUACUAUUUAUAAGGUCCGGCUAACUACGUGCCAGCAGCCGCGGUAAUACGUAGGGACCAAGCGUUGUUCGGAUUUACUGGGCGUAAAGGGCGCGUAGGCGGCGCGGUAAGUCACUUGUGAAAUCUCUGAGCUUAACUCAGAACGGCCAAGUGAUACUGCAGUGCUAGAGUGCAGAAGGGGCAAUCGGAAUUCUUGGUGUAGCGGUGAAAUGCGUAGAUAUCAAGAGGAACACCUGAGGUGAAGACGGGUUGCUGGGCUGACACUGACGCUGAGGCGCGAAAGCUAGGGGAGCAAACGGGAUUAGAUACCCUCGUAGUCCCUGAGCGGGCUGGCAAGGCGCAU